GGGGGAUAUUGCACAAUGGGGGAAACCCUGAUGCAGCGACGCCGCGUGGAGGAAGAAGGUUUUCGGAUUGUAAACUCCUGUCGUUAGGGACGAUAAUGACGGUACCUAACAAGAAAGCACCGGCUAACUACGUGCCAGCAGCCGCGGUAAUACGUAGGUGGCGAGCGUUAUCCGGAAUUAUUGGGCGUAAAGAGGGAGCAGGCGGCACUAAGGGUCUGUGGUGAAAGAUCGAAGCUUAACUUCGGUAAGCCAUGGAAACCGUAGAGCUAGAGUGUGUGAGAGGAUCGUGGAAUUCCAUGUGUAGCGGUGAAAUGCGUAGAUAUUAGGAGGAACACCAGUGGCGAAGGCGGCUUACUGGACGGCAACUGACGUUGAGGCUCGAAAGCAUGGGUAGCAAACAGGAUUAGAUACCCUGGUAGUCCAUGCCGUAAACGAUGAUUACUAGGUGUUGGGGGAUUGACCCCCUCAGUGCCGCAGUUAACACAAUAAGCAUUCCGCCUGGGGAGUACGGCCGCAAGGUUGAAACUCAAAGGAAUUGACGGGGGCCCGCACAAGCAGCGGAGCAUGUGGUUUAAUUCGACGCAACGCGAAGAACCUUACCAGGUCUUGACAUCCACUUAAACUUACAGAGAUGUAAGGUGUGCUUGCACAAAGUGAGACAGGUGGUGCAUGGUUGUCGUCAGCUCGUGUCGUGAGAUGUUGGGUUAAGUCCCGCAACGAGCGCAACCCUUAUCUUCAGUUACUAACGCGUAAAGGUGAGGACUCUGAAGAGACUGCCGGGGACAACUCGGAGGAAGGUGGGGACGACGUCAAAUCAUCAUGCCCCUUAUGACCUGGGCUACACACGUGCUACAAUGGCCACGACAGAGAGAAGCGAAAUCGCAAGGUAGAGCGGAACUCAAAAAAGUGGUCCCAGUUCGGAUUGUGGGCUGCAACCCGCCCACAUGAAGUCGGAGUUGCUAGUAAUCGCGGAUCAGCAUGCCGCGGUGAAUACGUUCCCG
rnacentral:rRNA from 1 species